UCGGCCGUCAGCGUCUCCUCCAGGGCCGUCAGGUUGGACGUGACUUCCUGAGGCAGGAACGCGAACAUGCUCACCUGGUUCUGCAGGAGGAUCUGCGCGAUCUGCAACGAGAGGACAAGCGGCGGAGGAGGCCGGGGAGCGACCCUUGAGGACCGCCGACGGACGUGCCUGUCCUAAAGGCACCCUCGGAAGGGGUUCAGACCCAACCAAAA